rnacentral:rRNA from 1 species
GACAGAGGUGCCGAGCGUUAGGCGGAAUCACUGGGCUUAAAGCGUGUGUAGGCGGGCCGUUAAGCGCCCCGUGAAACUCCCCGGCCUCAACCGGGAACGGCGGGCGGACUGGCGGCCGUUGAGACGACCUAGGGUCAGCGGAAGAGGCGGUGGAGCGGUGAAAUGCGUAGAUAUCGCCUGGAACGCCGACGGCGAAAGCAGCUGACUGGGGUGUUCUGACGCUGAGACGACGAAAGCCAGGGAGCGAACGG